rnacentral:rRNA from 1 species
GACGAACGCUGGCGGCGUGCUUAACACAUGCAAGUCGAACGGAAAGGCCCUGCUUUUGUGCGGUGUUCGUGUGCCGCACGGGUGUGUAUCACGCGAGUAACCUGCCCUUGAGUGUGGGAUACCUUAUGGGAACUGGGGCUAAUAUCGGACAGGGCUACUUUAGAAACGAGGGGUAUGGUUAGAUUCGGCGGUUGGGGAAGGCACCGCGGCUCACGCGCUUGUUGGUGAGGUUGGUGCUUACCAAGGCCAUGACGGCUAGGCUGCCUGGGAGGGUGACCGGCCACAUUGGGACAGAGAAACCGCCCAGACUCCUACGGGGGGCAGCAGUGAGGGACAGUGCACAAUGGGCGGAAGCCGGAUGCGGCAACGCCGCGUGCGGGAUGACGGCCUUCGGGGUGGAAACCUCGUUCGCCUGUGACGAAGCGUGAGUGACGGUAAUGAGUAAAGAAGCACCGGCUAACUACGUG